AAGAUUUUAAGUUAUUUACAAACUAAUAGUCUUCAAAACUAUAAAUAAUGAUAAAAUUCAUUAAAUCUUA
rnacentral:tRNA from 1 species